UAAAGCAAAGAAGAGCGCAGAGUGAAUGCCUUGGCAUUGAGAGCCGAAGAAGGACGUGGUUAACUGCGAUAAGCAGCGGGGAGUUGUAAGCAAGCAUUGAUCCGCUGAUUUCCGAAUGGAGCAAUCCGCAUGAAGUAGUUCAUGCAUCCAUAUGUAAAUCAAUAGCAUAUGGAGGGGAACCGCCUGAACUGAAACAUCUAAGUAGGGCGAGGAAGAGAAAUCAACCGAGAUUCCGUAAGUAGUGGCGAGCGAACGCGGAAGAGGCCAAACCGAGAGAAGAAAUUCUUUCGGGGUUCGGACUGCAUUUAGCAUUCCUGAUCUUUAGUCGAACAGUCUGGGAAGGCUGACGAGAGAGUGUGAGAGUCACGUAGACGAAAAGGAGAAGGAGCGAGCAGGAUCCAGAGUACCGCGGGGCACGUGAAAUCCCGUGGGAAGAUGGGGGGACCACCCUCCAAGCCUAAAUACUACUCAAUGACCGAUAGCGUAUAGUACUGUGAAGGAACGGUGAAAAGAACCCCGGGAGGGGAGUGAAAAGAACCUGAAACUCUGUGCUUACAAGCACAUAGAGCACGUCAAUGUGUGAUAUGGUACCUUUUGUAGAAUGGUCCGGCGAGUUAUGGUAUGCAGCAUGGUUAAGGACUUGAGGUCUGAAGCCGAAGCGAGAGCGAGUCUGACAAGGGCGAUAAGUUGUAUGCCAUAGACCCGAAACCGGGUGACCUAGCCAUGUCCAGGCUGAAGUGGAGGUAAAACUCCAUGGAGGGCCGAACCGACCUCCGUUGAAAAGGCGGCGGAUGAGAUGUGGCUAGCGGAGAAAUUCCAAUCGAACCCGGAUAUAGCUGGUUCUCCCCGAAAUAGCUUUAGGGCUAGCGUUGUAUUAGAUUACCGGAGGUAAAGCACUGAAUGGGCUAGGGGCUGAGAAGUUACUGAACCCUAUCAAACUAAGAAUGCCGGAUAAUUGAUGUACAGCAGUCAGACUAUGUGAGAUAAGUCUCAUAGUCAAAAGGGAAACAGCCCAGACCCACAGCUAAGGUCCCAAAAUGGAUUUAAGUGGAAAAGGAUGUGGAAUUGCACAGACAACCAGGAUGUUGGCUUAGAAGCAGCCACUCAUUAAAAGAGUGCGUAAUAGCUCACUGGUCGAGUGACCGAAGCUUGGGCUUGACAGUAAUGUCAGGGGUAGGGGAGCGUCGUAUACGAGGUGAAGUCAUAGCGGAAGCGGUGGUGGAUUGUAUACGAGUGAGAAUGCCGGAAUGAGUAGCGAGAAUUAUGUGAGAAUCAUAAUGGCCGAAAGUCUAAGGUUUCCUGAGGAAGGUUCGUCCUCUCAGGGUUAGCCGGGAGCUAAGGUGAGGCGGAAACGCGUAGCCGAUGCACAUACGGUAGAAAUUCCGUAGCCUCCGAAGAUUUAAGCACAGGGACACUUUUGAAGGGCUGAGCCGGGCGUUGGUUGCCCCGGUCGAAAGGGACACGAGUGAGUGGAAGUCAGUUUGGAAAGAGGCGAGAAAAGCUGUGUGUAUAUGGAAGGAGCCCGUACCGCAAACCGACACAGGUAGACAGGAAGAAGAUUCUAAGGCCAGCGGGAGAAGGGUUGUUAAGGAACUCGGCAAGUUGACCCCGUAACUUCGGGAGAAGGGGUGCUUACGAAGGUAAGCCGCAGAGAAUAGGCCCAAGCGACUGUUUAGCAAAAACACAGCUCUAUGCUAAAUCGAAAGAUGACGUAUAUGGGGUGACACCUGCCCGGUGCUGGAAGGUUAAGAGGAGAUGUGAGAGCAUUGAAUUGAAGCCCCAGUAAACGGCGGCCGUAACUAUAACGGUCCUAAGGUAGCGAAAUUCCUUGUCAGGUAAGUUCUGACCCGCACGAAUGGUG
rnacentral:rRNA from 1 species